rnacentral:rRNA from 1 species
AGUGAACGCUGGCGGUAGGCCUAACACAUGCAAGUCGAACGGCAGCACAGUAAGAGCUUGCUCUUACGGGUGGCGAGUGGCGGACGGGUGAGGAAUACAUCGGAAUCUACUUUUUCGUGGGGUAUAACGUAGGGAAACUUACGCUAAUACCGCAUACGACCUACGGGUGAAAGCAGGGGAUCUUCUGACCUUGCGCGAUUGACUGAGCCGAUGUCGGAUUAGCUAGUUGGCGGGGUAAAGGCCCACCAAGGCGACGAUCCGUAGCUGGUCUGAGAGGAUGAUCAGCCACACUGGAACUGAGACACGGUCCAGACUCCUACGGGAGGCAGCAGUGGGGAAUAUUGGACAAUGGGCGCAAGCCUGAUCAAGCCAUACCGCGUGGGUGAAGAAGGCAUUCGGGUUGUAAAGCCCUUUUGUUGGGAAAGAAAAGCAGCAGGUUAAUACACCGAUGUUCUGACGGUACCAAAAGAAUAAGCACCGGCUAACUUCGUG